rnacentral:rRNA from 1 species
AGCNGCCCGUAGCCGGCCCGGUGUGUCCCUCGUUAAAUCCACGGGCUUAACCCGUGGGCUGCGGGGGAUACUACCGGGCUUGGGGGUGGGAGAGGCGCCCGGUAUUCCCGGGGUAGGGGUAAAAUCCUCUGAUCCCGGGAGGACCAUCAGUGGCGAAGGCGGGGCGCCAGAACACGCCCGACGGUGAGGGGCGAAAGCUGGGGGAGCAAACGGGAUUAGAUACCCCGGUAGUCCCAGCUGUAAACGAUGCGGGCUAGCUGUCGGGGCGGCUACGGGCCGCCCCGGUGGCGAAGGGAAGCCAUUAAGCCCGCCGCCUGGGGAGUACGGCCGCAAGGCUGAAACUUAAAGGAAUUGGCGGGGGAGCAC